CCUACGGGGGACAGCAGUGAGGAAUAUUGGUCAAUGGUCGGGAGACUGAACCAGCCAAGCCGCGUGAGGGAUGAAGGUACAGAGUAUCGUAAACCUCUUUUGUCAGGGAACAAAGGCGGGGACGUGUCCCCGGCUGAGUGUACCUGAAGAAAAAGCAUCGGCUAACUCCGUGCCAGCAGCCGCGGUAAUACGGAGGAUGCGAGCGUUAUCCGGAUUUAUUGGGUUUAAAGGGUGCGCAGGCGGUCUGUUAAGUCAGCGGUCAAAGCCCGGGGCUCAACCCCGGCCCGCCGUUGAAACUGGCAGUCUCGAGUUGGAGAGAAGUAUGCGGAAUGCGCGGUGUAGCGGUGAAAUGCAUAGAUAUCGCGCAGAACUCCGAUUGCGAAGGCAGCAUGCCGGCUCCACACUGACGCUGAGGCACGAAAGCGUGGGUAUCGAACAGGAUUAGAUACCCGUGUAGUC
rnacentral:rRNA from 1 species